rnacentral:sRNA from 1 species
CUAGAUGGCAUGUGUAUGAUUGAGUACAAGAACUCGAACCGCAACUGGAUCUUGAAAGCCCAAGUAGUGUUUCUUUGUUAGAAGAUACAACGCCAAUGACUCAUACGGACUUCGGCUACACCAUCAAAGCUUUGAAAA